UCUGUACAUCUGUGGUGGGAAAGGAGAAGCUGUCACCUAAUGCUGGCCGUGGGAAGCUCAGGGAUAGCCAUGGUACUUCAGGCUGCUGGCAGGAUGCCUUCUUUCAGCUGAUUUCCCCCUAAGCCUGAAAAUAUUAGGAGCUAAAUUACUGCAAGAGCAGAGCUUCAUUUCACUUGCACAGGUGGCUGAGAAACAGUUGGAUCAUGGCCUGUGACUUCAAAGAGCACUUACAGAAUCACACAAAUCACACAAUAAUUUAGGUCAGAAGGGACCCGUGUAGUUGUCUACUCCAACACCCUGCUCAGAACAGAAGCCUGGCUUCAGGGACCGUGCUUUUACAGCUACAUCAAGCCUUAUGCCAUUGCACAGGCGUACAAAGGCUGAAUGCUGCACACCAGGAGUCACAGGAAAGGAUUUCUGAGCAAAUUGUAUGGCAGAUAGAAAUACAUCUCUGCUACACUUGCUGCUCCUGUGGAGCACACUGCAAAGCCUGUAGAUACAAUGCAAAGUUGUGUGAGCUUCUGUUUUGAUCCUCAUGUAUCAGAAAAAAGAAGA